AUGACAUAAAUUUUGAUCAUGACAUAAAAUCAUGUAUAGCUUAUGCCGUUGACAUAAAUUCCGUUGCAUAAACAUAUUUAUGUAUUGUUUUAGCUUAUGACGCGAUUUAAUCAUCUUUACAAAACUGAAUAGUCAUGAACGUGCCUAUUGCAUAAACUUGGUAAAAGUUAUUUUUCAGCCGCAGCAAGUUGUUGCGAAAAAGGGUCUUUGGCUUCCCAUUUUGACGGGAUAGAGGCAUAUUUUGGUGAACCACACAAAUGGGGAGAAGAGGAAGAAAGAGAUAGGGGGACAGCAACUGGAGGGAGAUGGAAGUCCAGACACUCUGCCCCUGUCUGCCAUUGAAGAAGAAGCCUCUCUUUGGAUCAGGGGGUCAAGCUUCUAGUAUGAAGAUUGUUCAAGAGUCACGACUGUUGAAGAGGUGACGUCAUGGACCUGGUAGCACCUGGCUAUGGAACUAUUUUACUGUUCACACUCAAGUAUCAUAAAAACGCUUUAAAAAUUUGAACAUUAACAAAAGUACUAAUUUUCAUUUUUCAAAGAUAAUAAUCAUUAUAUUGACAUUGUGGAUAUGUUUUAUGAUUAUUAUGAAAUUAUUAUAAUGUUGAUAAUGAUAAAAAUUAACUAUAAGUAGAAAAGAAGACAACCAAGAAGGAGGAGGAGAAUAAGAAUAAAUUACAACACUGUGAGUUCCU